GAUGAACGCUGGCGGCGUGCCUAAUACAUGCAAGUCGAGCGAAUUGACGGAGGUGCUUGCACCUCUCGAUUUUAGCGGCGGACGGGUGAGUAACACGUGGGUAACCUACCUAUAAGACUGGGAUAACUUUGGGAAACCGGAGCUAAUACCGGAUAAUAUUUGGCUUCGCAUGAAGCAAUAGUGAAAGACGGUUCUGCUGUCACUUAUAGAUGGACCUGCGGUGUAUUAGCUAGUUGGUGAGGUAACGGCUCACCAAGGCAACGAUACACAGCCGGCCUGAGAGGGUGAUCGGCCAAACUGGGACUAAGACACGGCCCAGACUCCUACGGGCGGCAGCAGUAGGGAAUCUUCCGCAAUGGACGAAAGUCUGACGGAGCAACGCCGCGUGAGUGAAGAGGGUUUUCGGAUCGUAAAACUCUGUUGUAAGGGAAGAACAAGUACGUUAGUAACUGAACGUACCUUGACGGUACCUUACCAGAAAGCCACGGCUAACUACGUGCCAGCCGCCGCGGUAACAC
rnacentral:rRNA from 1 species